UUUUUUUGUUUUGAACCCCAAUUUGAAUUCAUUUAUUGUUGUGAAUUUGUACUCAAGUAUAACAUAUAAUUCAAGGUUAUCAAAUUGAAAAGCAAAAUUUAUUUCUAUGUAGUUUUCUUUAUAGGGCAUUCCUCCUAUUCUAAUCUUGCAAAUUAGGGUUAAACUCCCAAAUUUGGAUAUCAAUAUACUUUUUUUAUUACCUUUAUAUUAUCACAAAAAAUGCGCAC
rnacentral:lncRNA from 7 species